rnacentral:lncRNA from 1 species
ACACAGGAGAAGCCCGGUGGAGCACUGUCGAUAUGCAAAUUUGAGCAAAUUACUCCAGCCCCUGUGCACCUAAGGUCGCGCUGCUGUAAAAGGAGAAAACACCAUGGUGGGGGCGGGGGGAAUCCAGGAAGAUCUUGACGUGAAGCCCUGGAAAGUGUUACACAUCUUGGUUUUCCAUACAGGUCGUGUGCUGGCUUCACCUGCAUUAUUCACAAGUCGCAGGUCCUUC